rnacentral:misc_RNA from 1 species
UUUCCGUAGGUGAACCUGCGGAAGGAUCAUUAUUGUGUGACCGCGCUCCGAGUUCUAUCGCUCACCUGAGCUGUCUUGCCCUCGCGGCUGCCCUCACCCCCCUCCAUCUCCCCCCUCUGGGCACCACCGCGUGGGUCCCCCCUUGGCUUGUUCCCUGGUGGGCUUACGUUUUCACACACACUUUGUCUGCAGUGUAAACUGUAUUUUUUGUUUUUACGAUCACGCACUUCAUACAACUCUCAACAACGGACCUCUUGGCUCUAGCAUCCAUGAAUAACC